CCAGAUGCUUUUAUUCUACAUAGAACAGAAUUAAAAUGUAGAAAUAUUUAGAUUACAGUCCAUGAGAUAAGUACAGUAUAACAUUUGCACUGUUAGAUCUAGUAGAUACUAUUUUAAAAUGAUUACAAGAGAAUUCUAUGCUUACCCACAGUACAUCAUUUUAUGAGAUGGUAGAAAGUAUUUCAUAAUACUACACUAAUUAUAUAUAAGUAUAUGCUUAUAUAAUAAGUAUAUAUUAAAUACUAUAACAUAAUAUAGGUAAUGUGUCCAUUUUGACAUUCUGGCUACCAGUUUCAUAC
rnacentral:lncRNA from 1 species